CGAGCGUUAUCCGGAUUCAUUGGGUUUAAAGGGUGCGUUAGNCGGCUUCUUAAGUCAGUGGUGAAUCCUGCGGCUCAACCGUAGAACUGCCAUUGAAACUGGGGGGCUUGAAUACAGAUGAAGUAGGCGGAAUGAGUAGUGUAGCGGUGAAAUGCAUAGAUAUUACUCAGAACACCGAUUGCGUAGGCAGCUUACUAAACUGAUAUUGACGCUGAGGCACGAAAGCGUGGGGAGCGAACAGGAUUAGAUACCCUGGUAGUCCACGCAGUAAACGAUGUUCACUCGCUGUUUGCGAUAUACAGUAAGCGGCUUAGCGAAAGCAUUAAGUGAACCACCUGGGGAGUACGUCGGCAACGGUGAAACUCAAAGGAAUUGACGGGGGCCCGCACAAGCGGAGGAACAUGUGGUUUAAUUCGAUGAUACGCGAGGAACCUUACCUGGGCUUAAAUGUAGGUUGCAUGAGGUGGAAACACCCUUCCCUUCGGGGCUACCUACAAGGUGCUGCAUGGUUGUCGUCAGCUCGUGCCGUGAGGUGUCGGGUUAAGUCCCAUAACGAGCGCAACCCUUACCGUUAGUUGCCAUCAGGUCAAGCUGGGAACUCUAACGGGACUGCCACCGUAAGGUGAGAGGAAGGUGGGGAUGACGUCAAAUCAGCACGGCCCUUAUGUCCAGGGCUACACACGUGUUACGAUGGCCGGUACAGAGGGCAGCUACACCGCGAGGUGGUGCUAAUCCUAAAAGCCGGUCCCAGUUCGGAUCGUAGUCUGCAACCCGACUACGUGAAGUUGGAUUCGCUAGUAAUCGCGCAUCAGCCAUGGCGCGGUGAUACGUUCCCGGGCCUUGUACACACCGCCCGUCAAACCAUGGAAGCUGGGGGGACCUGAAGUCUGUCACCGAAAGGAGCGGCC
rnacentral:rRNA from 1 species